UGCAUGUGUAAGUAUAAAUAAUUCUACUUUGAAACUGCGAAUGGCUCAUUAUAUCAGUUAUAGUUUAUUAGAAAAAAUGUACUACUUGGAUAACCGUAGUAAUUCUAGGGCUAAUACAUGAAUGAAUCCUCGACUUUGAAGAGGUGUGUUUAUUAGUAUGAAAACCAUAUGCUUCGGCAUGAUAGUGAGUAAUAAUAACCUUUCGUAUCGUAUGUUGAAAUAACGAUAGUUCUUUCAAGUUUCUGCCCUAUCAGCUUUCGAUGGUAGUGUAUUGGACUACCAUGGCAGUAACGGGUAACGAAGAAUUUGGGUUCGAUUUCGGAGAGGGAGCCUGAGAGAUGGCUACCACAUCCAAGGAAGGCAGCAGGCGCGUAAAUUACCCAAUCCUGACAGAGGGAGGUAGUGACAAUAAAUCACAAUGCGGGACUAUUUAGUUUUGCAAUUGGAUUGAGAACAAUGUACAAGAGUUAUCGAUAAACAAUUGGAGGGCAAGUCUGGUGCCAGCAGCCGCGGUAAUUCCAGCUCCAAUAGCGUAUAU
rnacentral:rRNA from 1 species